rnacentral:rRNA from 1 species
UACGAAGGGGGCUAGCGUUGUUCGGAAUUACUGGGCGUAAAGGGCUCGUAGGCGGCCAACUCAGUCGGACGUGAAAUCCCUCGGCUUAACCGGGGAAUGGCGUCCGAUACUGGAUGGCUUGAGUUUGGGAGAGGGAUGCGGAAUUCCAGGUGUAGCGGUGAAAUGCGUAGAUAUCUGGAGGAACACCGGUGGCGAAGGCGGCAUCCUGGACCAACACUGACGCUGAGGAGCGAAAGCCAGGGGAGCAAACGGG